rnacentral:tRNA from 1 species
GCCUUCGUGGUGUAGUGGUCAGCACGCUCGGCGCGUAUUCGAGAGGUCAGUGGUUAGAAUCCCGGCAAGGGCA